UUCAGUGAUUUGCCAAUAGAUAUGUGAGAUUGUGGAUAAACUCUGCCUGUAUAAUGUUCAUGUUUAAUUUGUAUUGGAGCUGUCAUUUGGCAUUCCGGGCACUAGAGGCCACUGUUUUGCAGCACAGGCAGCACACUCUGGGAUCUGUAUAUGUAAAGCAGAUGAUGACUCAUACUUGCUGCUUCUAAAACCAGGAAGUGCUGAUCUGACAUGGUGGAAGCAAUGUUCUUUGAGAGACUGAAUACGAUUCCAUCCUGGCUUGCGGAAGUCCGGGAGAGAAUGGACACGCAGAGGAAGGAGAUUAGCUGUUGUCCCCUUACUGGAUCCGGCUCUUUGAAAGAGAGAUUGUUCCAGGAAGACAGUGUACAGCGUGUGGGCAGUUUUAUUAUCAAGCAAGGCCGCACGGUUGCUGAGAGGUUGGUGGCCAUCCCGGGUAAGCGGCAUCUUCUGGCCCAGAACGGACGCAGGUC